AGCCCAGCAACUCCUAUCCCUACCUCCUCGCGAUACUUGCCGGGGUACGAGUAACCUUAGGGAAGAUCGGGUAACCAACCCCCGGUGGGAACUUUGGUCGUAUGCUGACAGGGAAGG
rfam:Aedes aegypti strain Liverpool supercont1.352 genomic scaffold, whole genome shotgun sequence.